rnacentral:snoRNA from 1 species
GACAGUUUGCCAACACUCUGGUGCCUAAUCAAGGAUAUAUUUAUAUGUCCUUGGAACUAUAUUAGGUUCCUAUUUUGGUGCAAACAAGAGAGAACUGCUACUUACUCACCAAGAUAUGCUUUUUAUAUAACUAAUACUUCGGUUUUGGUUCCAGAUAGUUAUAUUGGUCCAUUUCAAUAGCUAACAU